CAUAUUAUUUAUGAAUAGUUUCUCGUUUAUGGAGCGGAAAGGUCUGUCUGAAAGCGUGAUACAUGGUUACGCAAGACUCGGUAUCUGACUAAGUAGGAAGUGCAGACUGCAGUGCUUAGCCGGCUAACAUGCGCUUUACUGGUUGCUAUUUAUGUGCACUGUACAAAUCAAGAUAUUACCAAUAUGGCUUUCUCACUGACUUCCAACAUGGACUUUCUGAAGAAAUUGCCAGCAUACAAACCUUUCCUGAAAACAGUGCUGAAAUCACAGAUACAGCUCCUGGUUAACCAGUUAUCUGAAUAUGGUGAUGAGGAGUCCGUUUUCCUAACAGCAAGUAUGACUGAUGGCACACUGUCACACAUUGGAUCAAAAUCAGGGCAAGAGUUUCUUGAAAGUAAUGAAGAAAUCAAGUCAAAGUUUCUGAGAUUUUGCAUUGGAGGUAAUUUAGGAGGUAUUGAUCCAGAUAGAAGUGAAAAUUCAAACACACAGUUACCAGGACCAGAGAGACAUAAAAAAGUGAACAAGAAACGAACAGACUUAACAAAAUUUAAAAUCCCUGAAGCAAGGAAAGAAAAAGAAAAUAUUCAGAUAGAAGUAACAGAGGGUUUCUCUUCAGACAUUAAUGUUGAUGCCAGUAUAAAUACAGCAGAUGUUGAUAAUCCUGAAACACUCAUUUUGAAAUGCGAAACAGAUGAGGAAUGUUUGGAUGAAGUAAACGAUGAGGCAAAUGACAAGAAAAAAGAAAUUGCUGAUCAUAAAAAAGGUUCUAGUGAUACACAUGAUACUGGUGACACUACAGAUGAAGCUUCAAAGAGUGUUCAUACCUGUGCUGAAGACGCUCAUGAUGAUUUGCGUGUUGAUAAUAAUUUUGUUGUCAAAAUAGAAACUGACUGGGAGUCAGACAGUGUGGUAGAUACAAUAAACAUGGAGGAUAAAAAUAACACAAAACACAUAGCUGAUCUCAGUGUUAACCAAAAAGGAAACCAUUUAUUACGUCCCUCUACUAGCUCAGGAAAAAUUGCAGCUCAUCUACAGCCAGAGUUUCUUUGUUGUAAUGAUGACCUCAUUUGGGAGAAAAACAAUCUACCAAAGCAGAAACGUGUAGUUAAAGCAUCGUCACUUUGGACAAAAUAUACUGCAAUAAAAGCAGUGGAACAGUGUAAGAAAAGCAAAGUUAUGAUAGCGGAAGAGUUUGGUGUUCCAAAAAGUACAUUAUCAACUUGGUUGAAAAAUUCAGAAAAAAUUAAAGCGGAUGUAGAAGGAGAUAAAAUUCAUCCAGGUACUAAGAAACGAAGGUAUUCCAAGUUUUACGACAUCGAGGAAGCCUUAUUAGCAUGGUUAAAAAUAGUGCAUCUACAAGCCGUCAUUCCAAAAAUAACUAGUGUGAAUAUAUGUGAUAAAGCUAACCAGCUGGCACAACAGUUUGGUUACACGCCAGAGACUUUCCAGUGCUCCAAGGCGUGGGUAGAGAGAUUUAAAACAAGGCAUGGCUUCAAAAAGAAUUUUGUCAAGGGAGAUACCUGCAAUGGAGAUUAAUGUAGUGAGGUGAUUUUAAGGAAUAACUCAUAUGUUUGAAGAAGUUUUUGUAAACAGAACAUAAAACAUGGAUACUAAAAGUCCAAGGAGUGGAAAUUUUCUACAUAAAUUUAAAAGUGCCACCUUUUGUCUUGUAUUCUGUAAGUGGGCUUGUAUAGUUUGUCUUUAGUACCUCUUUGAAUGGACAAAUUUUGAAAGCUAUAUAGUGGUUUGAUUCCUUGUGGCAUAUA
rnacentral:misc_RNA from 1 species